rnacentral:rRNA from 1 species
GACGAACGCUGGCGGCGCGCUUAACACAUGCAAGUCGAGCGAAGCGGCGGACGGGGGAGUAACACGUGAGUAACAUGCCUAAGACCUUGGGAUAGCCUCGGGAAACGGGGAUUGAUACCAAAUGGUAUAAGAUGGAGUCGCGUCCCAUUAGCUAGUUGGUGUGGUAACGGCCCACCAAGGCGACGAUGGGUAGCCGGCCUGUGAGGGUGAACGGCCACAGUGGAACUGAGAAACGGUCCAAACUCUACGGGAGGCAGCAGUGGUGAAUAUUGCACAAUGGAGGGAACUCUGAUGCAUCGACGCCGCGUGAACGAAGAAGGCUUUCGAGUCGUAAAGUUCUUUUAUAUGGGAAGCGGUACCAUAAGAAAAAGCCCCGGCUAACUACGUGCCAGCAGCCGCGGUAAUAC